rnacentral:rRNA from 1 species
ACUCCUACGGGAGGGCAGCAGUAGGGAAUCUUCCACAAUGGGCGCAAGCCUGAUGGAGCAACACCGCGUGAGUGAAGAAGGGUUUCGGCUCGUAGAGCUCUGUUGUUUAAAGAAGAACACGUAUGAGAGUAACUGUUCAUACGUUGACGGUAUUUAACCAGAAAGUCACGGCUAACUACGUGCCAGCAGCCGCGGUAAUACGUAGGUGGCAAGCGUUAUCCGGAUUUAUUGGGCGUAAAGAGAGUGCAGGCGGUUUUCUAAGUCUGAUGUGAAAGCCUUCGGCUUAACCGGAGAAGUGCAUCGGAAACUGGAUAACUUGAGUGCAGAAGAGGGUAGUGGAACUCCAUGUGUAGCGGUGGAAUGCGUAGAUAUAUGGAAGAACACCAGUGGCGAAGGCGGCUACCUGGUCUGCAACUGACGCUGAGACUCGAAAGCGAUGGGUAGCGAACAGGAUUAGAUACCCUGGUAGGAUAGCG